rnacentral:rRNA from 1 species
CCGGUAAACGGCGGCCGUAACUAUAACGGUCCUAAGGUAGCGAAAUUCCUUGUCGGGUAAGUUCCGACCUGCACGAAUGGCGUAAUGAUGGCCAGGCUGUCUCCACCCGAGACUCAGUGAAAUUGAACUCGCUGUGAAGAUGCAGUGUACCCGCGGCAAGACGGAAAGACCCCGUGAACCUUUACUAUAGCUUGACACUGAACAUUGAGCCUUGAUGUGUAGGAUAGGUGGGAGGCUUUGAAGUGUGGACGCCAGUCUGCAUGGAGCCGACCUUGAAAUACCACCCUUUAAUGUUUGAUGUUCUAACGUUGACCCGUAAUCCGGGUUGCGGACAGUGUCUGGUGGGUAGUUUGACUGGGGCGGUCUCCUCCUAAAGAGUAACGGAGGAGCACGAAGGUUGGCUAAUCCUGGUCGGACAUCAGGAGGUUAGUGCAAUGGCAUAAGCCAGCUUGACUGCGAGCGUGACGGCGCGAGCAGGUGCGAAAGCAGGUCAUAGUGAUCCGGUGGUUCUGAAUGGAAGGGCCAUCGCUCAACGGAUAAAAGGUACUCCGGGGAUAACAGGCUGAUACCGCCCAAGAGUUCAUAUCGACGGCGGUGUUUGGCACCUCGAUGUCGGCUCAUCACAUCCUGGGGCUGAAGUAGGUCCCAAGGGUAUGGCUGUUCGCCAUUUAAAGUGGUACGCGAGCUGGGUUUAGAACGUCGUGAGACAGUUCGGUCCCUAUCUGCCGUGGGCGCUGGAGAAUUGAGGGGGGCUGCUCCUAGUACGAGAGGACCGGAGUGGACGCAUCACUGGUGUUCGGGUUGUCAUGCCAAUGGCACUGCCCGGUAGCUAAAUGCGGA